AUGUGUACGCAACCAAAAUGUGUCGUGUCGUGUGAAGGCCGUCCAGCCAGGGAACGCAGUUUGAGACGGCUUUUCAACAUUUGUAAUCAUGACACCGCAUUUAUGGCCACGAAUGAUAAAUUAUUGUUAGAUGAGAACGGACGUGACCAGCUGUGUUUGUGGCAGGUUUUUAACAACACAUUGGGGAAAUUUCUAAGUAUUAGUAUGAGUGCAUUUAAUGAGACCUGUGGACGUGUCCGCUUGUGUUUUCGUCGAUAUAAAAGUCGGGACAUCACCGAGACAUUGGUGGUGAUAAAACUUGUCAUUAUUAAUAAAAGUUUUAAAUUAGUUCUGAGAAGUCAGGACGUGUGCUGUCAGACAGGUGAUGUACAGCGUCUCAACGUAUCCGUGGUUUGCAGAAACGUACGUCACCAACAUUUAUUCUGGCGAUCGGGUCGGCAACACUUUAUUAAAAACACUGACAAGUGAUUGCGUCAUGAUAUGUAACUUAAAAUGGUAAAAUAAAACACAACCAAGGAGAUUCAUUCAGAAUAAAUAUUGCUUCUUACAUAACCCAUAAGUCUAAUAAUAUCCACGUUUUUAUCUAUAUAGUAUUUCUGUUUUUUGGCAAUCCACGCGUCAGUGUUGAACCUCUAUAAAAUUUCAUAGAACUCUAUACAAAUCUUUAAAAAUACUGUGCUUUUCUGCCCCCUCCGACACGUCGCUGUUUGUUUUUAAAAUAAGUUACAUGUUCAAACAGGAACAGCGUUAUAGCAGCAUCGUCCCGUGCCGGCCUCCGUACGGCGUAAUGUUCACAGAACACAGAGCUUGUGUAUGUUUCACUUGUCUCCUCGAAAGCUGCACCUGCAGGAAGCUGCGGAGUGUGAUAUGAAACCAAACGAGGGUGAAGUUGCUCUAAAACGAUAUAUAUAUAUAUUUCCAGACGUUGGGUUACUGUGGAGCACAUAUCCAACCACACGUGAGGUGUGCUCUGAAGGAAUCUACUUUAGGAUAAAAACACGAGCUCUUCUUCUCUACAGAGCGACGGUGGUGCAGGUGGUGGAGGAGGGGAGCUAUUUAAGGCAUCCUCUGCAGGAUGAUGGUGUGAAUGAGACCACUGCUGGUCCUCAGGUCAGCUCUGGCAACUAUAAAUCAACCUUCAUAGAAUUUCUUCUUUUUUUUUUACUCUAAACCUUUUAAUAGAGCUAUACAUAGAAUCAAAUAGACAUUUUUAUCCUGUUAAACACUCUUAUAUACACACAUUUCAACACAUACUGUACUUCUACUUCUGACCAGCCUGUAUCAUUGCUAGCAAACACAUACAAAUGUCCAGCUUUAUAAAUGCUGAUUAAUUUUAAAUUGGACCCUUAGAACAAAGUUUAAAUCACGUCUCUUCAGCCGGAGCUGCAGUGAGACCGGAUAAGAAUACGGGAGAAGCUCUUUGUCCAGGCGAGUUCAUCUGCACCGGAUCAGAAUCGUUUUCUUUCCCUUUCCUAAUCUCACACAGGGCUCACGCUGACGGACAUCUGCCGGCUCUGUCAGGUUAUUCUCUGCUUGGUUUUUUUGCACAGUGGUUAGAGGGCAGCACGAGGCACGAGGACUUACGUGAACACGUAAUUCUACAUAAAACCUUGAAGCCUCGGAUUCUCCAUCUGCUCCAGAGAGCAAACGCUUCGCCGAGAAUUCACCUCAUCUGGCUGAAGUCGCUUUACAAAGUAUUAACCUGCUGAUAUGUACAAUUAUAGGACAAGAUCUGUUUUUAUCUUCGAACUCUAACGACCGGACUCUGCCGUGGCGGCCAGCGUCGGUCUGCAACAGCUUCGUUAACGCAGCGUCGCGUCUCCAGCUUCUUUCUUAAAGAAAACGACUGAAGGCUGUUUUGGUCUGAAACAGUAGUUGGUUUCAUUUUGACUCCAGAUCACAGAUUUGUGCAGUUUCAGAUUGCCGUUUGGUUGGACUUGAGCUGGAGUUAGCUUGAUGCUAGCAAAUCUCACUGAGUCUUAGUCUCCUUGCUCUUUUUCUAUUAACAAAGAACAAUGUACAAAAUGUUCAGGUAGUCGUUGGAUAAAUAGAAAAAGUUCUUAAUUUCUCUGGCAAAACUUGAGUUUUGGAUCUUAAAUAUCAGGUUACUUAUAACAUUUACUGUUUAAAAUUGUUGACAGCUAAAAAAGGGAUCCAAAGGGAUUCAACACUGGAUUAAAAUUCAGUAAAAUACCAUCAGGUGACAGCUUUAAAUGGGUCGACAUUUUAGGAAAUACACAUAUUAAUUUUCUCGUUCAGAGUUUGUUGAGAAGAUCGAUACCACUGUCAUGUGAAUGUGGAGCUGAAGCCUGGAGAUGAUUAGCUUAGCUUAGCUUAGCAUUAAGACUGGAAACAGGGAAAAGUGUGGAUGUAUUAAAGACAAACUGGACACAGCAUCAGCGUCGAGGCCCCGUUCAGUCAGAUUACAGCUGCUCUGUGAUGCAUGAAGCCAAGAAAGUUCAACUUCCAGAUAUAAAAUGACCGACAUCAUUGUUGUGCGGGCACAGAGACUUCCUCUGACACUUUCAGCCCAUCGCUAAAUAAAUUGAUGUAAUCGUGUCGCUCCUCUAGACUUUCUAAAGGUUACCGGAAUGGAUCAAAAUGGAUCUUUUUGAAGGUUGUGAUGCUUUAUCCAAAUUAGAAAUAUUCAAAUGGUUCAUGCAACUAUAGUUUUUUCUAUAAAAAUAUAUCUGCCAUUGUUUUUUUCCCCUCAUUUUUUACUGACGCCUUGAAAUAACCUGAUACCUGGUGGGAUGACAUCGUCACAGGCGCUGGUGCCUCGACAUGCCACAGUACAUACAAACAGCAGAUCUUUGAUUGAUCGUCGAUUACUUCCUGGUGACUAUAGAAUAGCAUGUCCAUCCCUACGAGUCACAGCAGUUAACUGUGGACUGAAUGAUGUUUUAUACCAGGUAUAAUGUUGAACUGGGUAACAUCUCAGUUUAGCAGGUAAACAAGCUAAAAUUAGCAAAUUAGCAGUAAAAAAAAAGUACAGCUGAGUUAGAUGGGAGGGUAUAAAUAUGUUUUUAUACCUGACAAUUUAAAUUUUUGACCUGAUGAUAGCACCCAGUGAGAGUUAAUGUUAUUAAAAUUCAUCCUUAAGAAAUGUAAAUGGGACGUAUCAGCCUCAUGGUGGCGCUAGACUACAGGAGGUGUCAGAGAGUAUUUGGACUUUAUCCAGUCGGGAUUCUGAGGAGUAAUUAUUGAUAUAUUUCUGUCUGGACUGAAGCAGCGGACUGACUGACAGACACCUCCAGAGCUCACUGAUCAUCAGGUGAGAUAUGACAUGUUGAACUUUGAGCUUUUGCAAGCUGUUUUCCUGCCUCCAGUCUUGAUGCUAAGCUAAUCGUCUCCAGCUUCAUAUUCCUGCACAGACAUCAGAGUGCUAUCAGUGUUGUAACGCGCAGAAAUACGUUUAUUCCCCCAAAAUGUGAAACUAUUCCUUUAAACCUUGUAACGCUCUCUCUAUUAAACCUCUUCUUCUACCACGUGCACACAGGGUGUUGGGUGUUGGAUACGUUAGCGUUGCUUUGGGGCCACAUGAACGCUGAGUGUUGACCUGCUGAUGGUGAGGGGAAGGAGAUGUGACGUCGUGAGGAAAAGGAAAGUACAAAAGCGAAGAACAGCUCUAGUUUACCUACUGUGGCCUAAAGAGCGGGUCUGAGGAAAGAGCUAAACUGGCCUUAGUGAUAAUUCGGGUCAACCAUCAACACGCACACACACAUUCACACACACACACACACACACACACAACACUUGAAGGAAAAGCCAAGAGGACGCCCUUAUCAGACAGACAAGCUGGAACCACUUCAAGGUGAGAAUAUUCCUGGUCCAACGUUUGUCUGUCCGUCUUGUACCUCGUGUCCUCGCCUCCGUUGUCUUCGUAUGAUGAGGUGGACACCGGGUGGGUGUAGACUGACGAGGGGCCGCGGGGCCCCUGCUACAGCGGAGCGCCUCCUCUGGUGACCACCUCUCUCCACACUUUGCUCUCUCUCAGGAGAAGAAGGCCAUCGCAGUAUCGGUGUGUGUAUACAUGCUUAGGAUGUGUGAAGACAGUGUGUGCUCUUGUUUGUCAGUGUGUGGCACUCUGCAUAAAGUGUGUGUGUGUGUGUGUGUGUGUGUGUGUGUGUGCACGGACAUGAGAUAUGGUUCAGUAUUCGUUUAAACAUGUCAGCUAAUGUUCUUAUUUUUGACACAAACAGGUGAAAAGCAAAAAAAAAUGGAGUCUAUCUCAAAUUUUUCUCUACAACCUUAGAUGCACCCAGAAAUAUAACUCCGGUAGGACUCUAGUGAAGAAAUAUUAUUCUCUGAACAAACUCUAGCAAAGAUAGAAAAGGAGCAACGACCAGCUCAGCUGGUUCUUCAUGCACCCACACCGGGUGUAUGGAAAAAGUCUUCAGUAUUCCAAAGCAGUUGGGUGAGCAGGAGUCUUUAUGUGAAAUAAACUUCCAGACAAGUAUUUUUCCAGUGUUUGAGUACACGCUAUUCCAGAGUUUUUGUUUCCUGGUCAGUCCUUCGUACUGGCCUCCUCUUCUCUCUCUCCUUCAUGUGACUUAGCAGCUAUUCUCUUCUCUCUCCCCCUGCAGUUCCGCCGACAUCCCAUGAUCGCCUGAUGCUCAGAGCGGUGGGAAGGAGGAAGAGGGCGGACAAGACCGGAGCACUGAGAUGAGGGCGACAGAGGAUGAGAGAGGACAAAAACAGCAAGAGGCAGCAUCAGCUUGGACAAAACUUCUACCCAGUUCC
ensembl:lncRNA